CCUUAGUGAAUCCCCUGUUUUCUGCAGCUAAGUUGACUUCAGCUUUCUGUGCUCUUUGUUUCUUUGGGAAUGGAUCAUCUACGACUCCUUGCAACUUCCCCUUUCCUUUCUUGCGUGCAUAUUUAGCUGAUCUGCAAACAGGAUCAUGGUGUGAUAUCAUUUGUUGAUCAGAAUCUUUCUUCUUUCUAUCUCCGUGUUUUCUAUUCACCACCACUUUGAACUCUGACAAGUUGUUAUUUUCAUUCACAGCAAAACUAGC
rnacentral:lncRNA from 1 species